rnacentral:rRNA from 1 species
AUUGAACGCUGGCGGCAUGCCUUACACAUGCAAGUCGAACGGCAGCACGGGGGCAACCCUGGUGGCGAGUGGCGAACGGGUGAGUAAUGCAUCGGAACGUGUCCUCUUGUGGGGGAUAACCAGUCGAAAGAUUGGCUAAUACCGAAUGAGAUCGCAAGAUGAAAGCGGGGGACGGCAAGGCCUCGCGCGAGAGGAGCGGCCGAUGCCGGAUUAGCUAUUUGGGGGGGUAAAAGCCUACCAAGGCGACAAUCCGUAGCUGGUCUGAGAGGACGACCAGCCACACUGGGACUGAGACACGGCCCAGACUCCUACGGGAGGCAGCAGUGGGGAAUUUUGGACAAUGGGCGCAAGUCUGAUCCAGCCAUGCCGCGUGUGUGAAGAAGGCCUUCGGGUUGUAAAGCACUUUCGGACGGAACGAAAUCGCGCGGACGAACAUUCCGCGUGGAUGACGGUACCGUAAGAAGAAGCACCGGCUAACUACGUGCCAGCAGCCGCAGUAA